CUAGUGGACGCAGUGGACGAACAGGCAGGAAACUUGAAUGUAGAUGAGUCCCAUAUUGCUCCUCUUGUAACACCGGGCAGACAAAGGUGAGGUCAACAGCAAACCGCUGACUUGUUGGGGCGGCUGAGACUUGACAGCCAAGAACCCAUGCAGAGUCGCGCUGUCAAGCUAUCGGCUUAUAACACAACGCCGCACUUGAUACGCGUACACUUGAGAGAACUUCGGAAUCCACUAUACAGCAGACCGACCUGACACGGAGCCCAGGCAGCCCGGGUCUUCGACCAGCCGGAGGCGCCCCCCCCCAAACCUUGAUACUGAUGAGAUAACGCGCGGCAGACGAGGGGGGAGCGAGAGAGAGAGAGAGAGCAUGGGCAGGAAGUGGAGGAAACCAGGCAGGUAACGACGGUACGGGGUGGCUGGGAGAGACUGCACCUCAUAAUGUGUUUCCAUGGCAACCUGCAUAAGAUGUCACUCGGCUACUACAACAAAGAGGUGAUUGCAGAUAAGUCAGCCGAGAGCAGAGCAAUCUUACCGACCAACCGCACAGGACAGCUGUCACCCGAUAGGCCGAAUGCAUCUCGGAGAUUCUUGAUUGGUUCAGUGGGAAGCAGUCAGCAGAUCACGUGAUCCAGCUGCCUUAAAGAUCAGCCAAUGGCCCUGGCAGACACCGGUACUGGACAGCAUCGGCCAAAAACAAGCGUAUACGCAUGAAGGCCACCGUCAUUCAGAGUCAUGGAUAAGAACGUCUGUAGGUUCCAGUCACCUCGUUCGUCGUUAAGUCAACACUCCUCUUAAAAAAACUCUCGUCUGUGUUUGUGUAUCAUGGUUUGAGUGCCCUCCGCAUAAUCAAUCUUCAUGGGUUUUUGACAGUAAAUGCUAACUAUUCUACAACUUACAUCAAUUGCUUGGUAUCAACACAAGCUUUAAGAUGGCGUCAUUGGGCACAGCACCUUAAUAUGGCCCACGUGAAGUCUCCAUACACCUCAACAUCGCUCGUCUUUUAAGCUGCAGCUUUGUUUAGUCUAAAGGCCCUCUGCUUUCUCUGUUACUUUUUUACAGAAUUUACGAGCACGCAAUGCAAAUUUCGGCGCAAUCUCUUUCGUUGGUCCGUUGCUGCGCAUGUGCGUGGCCCCGCCGGAAAUAAACGUAGAUUUAGAAUCUUAAAGCACUUUUAUUCAUUAGGUUCUACUGGUAGCCGGCGCACGAAUUAGAACCACACUAUUUUCCUCCAAAUACAGACAGGAUAUUGCACGUGCACGUAGGUAUAUAGUAGGUAUAAUAUUUCACCCUUUUCUCUAAUAUAUCAUAUAGUGGUGUAUCUGGGUAGUGGUAUUUCCCCAAAUCAUGUAUUUUAAUGACUUGCUGAGAUGAGGUUUGCUAAUGGUUCGCCAUCAUAAACCUCAUGUCGAAGUGAAAACCAGUUGCCAACCUGAAUAUGUAUUUAGAGUGUUUGUGAUAGUAGUGUACUACAUAGUAGGCCCAUGCCUACAGAGUGUUUACUGAAAUAAUUCGUAAUUAUCCUACUGUUUCGCCCAGUUCUGGGUCACAUCAGCCAAAAGAAGUAUUAAGGGUGGAUGGUUGUUCCAACGUUUAUGUCCUACCCAUCACGUGCGCGUAUACAUGUACGUCGUACGAAGUAUACGAUCCGGGUAAGCCUCGUUCUCGGGGGUUCGGCCUCUCGUUGGCACAUCUGCUCAGGCGUCGUUAAUUUUCGGACCACGAACAGCCAGUCAAAUACCUCACAGCGCCGUUUUCACCGGGACGGAUUCACGACGAAUGCGUCGUCAUUCCAGCGUGAAACGCCAAGCUUGAGGCAUUUCGUGCUGUUUUGCACAAUGCUGCACGCGGUAACGCAAAAAGAAAGUAGAGAUAGGAAAAAAAAGUAGAUGUGAGAAAAACUAAAAUGCUGCACGGAUCUUGAAAUAUCUCACGAAAAUGCUGCUUAAAGGACGCCAGGGUUUCAAUCCUGUGACCUCCUUCGCAUGGGAAGGGCAACUCAGGUAUGAUAUAUAGCUAGCAUUAGACGAUCGUAGUACAAAAGAGGCGCUCACGCUUUAGUAGAAAAAAAUAUAUAUCCCAGCAAACCAUCGCUAAUUCGCAGAAUAGAAAAUGCAAGGCUUUCUAGAGCACAAUUUGAAAAGAGGAUAUAACUAUUUACACUUGAACCUUACGGGUAAGUUCGAGCGAUGACCUCUGUCUACCACUGGUCGAUUUUGCCUGGUACCCCCAGGGUAUGUUCCGUGCGCAAGUUACCAGCGGAAAUCGACCAGCAGUCGACAAAAUGGCCGUCGUUCGAACUCACCCUUCGUGGUCUGCACCCAUCGAAGCCUGAAUAAAAGUAUGAAUCACGUAAAAGCACAUUGGCACACAAACACGAACGAGCGAUUUUGUGGUUUAAGAGUAGACGGGUUGGUAAAACUAAUUAUCAACUCGGGAUAGUGGAGUUAUGUAGAGUAGCGCUAGAAUGUAUUCACUGAUUGUUUAUACCUAACUGAAAUAUAGUGUUAAUGGUUUAUUGUUUUUUGGUUGUUGGAAGGUGGUGUAAGUUGACCGUAGAGGGCGUGGUGUAGUGACGCCAUUUCCCGUGAUAUGGAAAUAUUUGUCUCACUGUAUUACUUUGGUGCAUGAGGCACCCGUUUCGCCACGUAAUUGCUGCAUUAUAAAUACUGUAGACGUGUAAAAGUCCUUCCCCGUUAGUUCAGUAGUUAUCAAGUAGGAUUAGACUUAAGAAUUUAUAGACUGAAAAAAGGUCUACGAUGGGGAAGUCUCCAUAUGCGACUGUCGUUGGUCGUCUGUCUUGACAUUUCGAUGUUGUGAUGUGUGAUAAUUAUGGGCCGGUGUGUGACGAAGUGCGAAGAGUGAGGGUUUUUGUCAAAUGGGCUUAUCUUUAUCAGUGCGCAGCCUGAACGGUAGUUAACUCCUUCGCCCCAAGUUUUCGACGGGUAUCCCACUCACCUAGCACUGGCUACGUGCAGACGGGCACACCAUCAGCUCAGUAGACAAAAAAAACCCAUCGUCUUCAUCGGUUAUUUCGCUUGGUUUGUAUUUUCCAUGUGUAUAGUGUGUAUAUAGAGUAAGAAGAAAUUCCCUUAUUGUGUGAUCUGUGGUCUUUUCUAUACAUACAACCCCUUUCAAUACCUCCGUGAUACAGUUUGUUAUAUGGAACAUUUAUAACAAACUUGUGGAACUCAUUUCAGUCGUAGCUACGUUCGUAGAGACAAGUUGUAACCAGUUUGUAGGGUAGAUAUUCUCCAAAGGAGGACAACUCGUAUACAUUGUAAUGCACGCACGGGAGCUGCAUUUUACAAUGACGUGCUGACAAUGGUGCUGAAUGGUCGUGAGUAGAUGUAGAGCCUUUAGAAACAGGACAGCGGUGGGUGUUUUGCAUGGAAAGAAACAUGCUUGGCAGAUCUCCAACUACAUGUACACGUAGUGAUGUAUUUUUUUUGGCGGGAAAGUCCUUCACGUGCUCGUACUUACGAGCUUUUCAAACGCGCGCUGGUGAUUUCCCCCGCCCCCUUUCUCCUUUUCUCUGUGGAAAUUGGCAACGGGAAGGUGAUUCGCAAACUUCACCCCAAAAAUUGCAAAUCUUCGGAACAAUGAAGGGUUUCUUAAACAACUGUAAAGUUUAAUCAUAAGGGGAUUUUUUUUCCAAUGCAGUUUCGGUGAAGCGCUGUUCACCGCAAUGUGAUAUUUCACAAGUUACCGUUUUACACGGACUGCCAGCCUCUGUUGUAUUUUUGUUGAAAGUUGACAUCUUGCGGUUGGCAUGGAAACUGGUUUCAUUUGCCAGUCUCUGGCACCAACGGUGACCCACCGCCGUUAUGUUUGCCAUUAAUAUAUAGUCUGUAUAUAGGUCUGCACUCCAGUCUGUCUAUAAUUCUUCUUUCUUUUUUUUUAUAUGCACUUCUAACAUCGGCUAGCCUGACUGCGGUCCAGCCCGAGUAACCGUUCGUAACUGCUAAUGAACCCAAAUACGCAUUAAUAUUCAUUCGUCAUGAAUGCCUAAUGAUUUGGAAACACUGGGCGGUUAAUUAACGGGCUGGCAUACUGCAUCAGAAGCCCCUGCACUUUGGACUUAGAUACAUGUAAUUAUGUAAUGUUAGAAGAAAUAGACGUAAUGUCAAGUGCAUGAAGACUGUAGUACGGUUGUCUGAAACCCACGAAUCUUGCCGCCCUAAAAAAAAAUUUAAAAAAAAUGAGCACGCCCACAAAAGAGGAGGGCCGGUUUAACUUGCAGAAAUGAUUGAUUUUGAUUGAAUAAACAUGUACAUUGAAUUUUCAGAAAUGA